rnacentral:rRNA from 1 species
AUUGAACGCUGGCGGCAGGCCUAACACAUGCAAGUCGAACGGUAACAGGAAGAAGCUUGCUUCUUUGCUGACGAGUGGCGGACGGGUGAGUAAUGUCUGGGAAACUGCCUGAUGGAGGGGGAUAACUACUGGAAACGGUAGCUAAUACCGCAUAACGUUGCAAGACCAAGGAGGGGAACCUUAGGGCCUCUUUCCAUCGGUUUGUCCCAGUUGGGAUUAGCUAGUAGGUGGGGUAACGGCUCACUUAGGCGACGAUCCCUAGCUGGUCUGAGAGGAUGACCAGCCACACUGGAACUGAGACACGGUCCAGACUCCUACGGGAGGCAGCGGUGGGGAAUAUUGCACAAUGGGCGCAAGCCUGCUGCAGCCAUGCCGCGUGUAUGAAGAAGGCCUUCGGGUUGUAAAGUACUUUCCGCGGGGAGGAAGGGAGUAAAGUUAAUACCUUUGCUCAUUGACGUUACCCGCAGAAGAAGCACCGGCUAACUCCGU